AGAGUUUGAUCAUGGCUCAGGACGAACGCUGGCGGCGUGCUUAACACAUGCAAGUCGAACGGAAAGCGCUCUUUGGAGUGACUCGAGUGGCGAACGGGUGAGUAACACGUGGGUGAUCUGCCCUGCACUUUGGGAUAAGCCUGGGAAACUGGGUCUAAUACCGGAUAGGACCAUGGCCUGCAUGGGUUGUGGUGGAAAGCUUUUGCGGUGUGGGAUGGGCCCGCGGCCUAUCAGCUAGUUGGUAGGGUAAUGGCCUACCAAGGCGACGACGGGUAGCUGGUCUGAGAGGACGACCAGCCACACGGGAAUUGAGAGACGGUCCCGACUCCUACGGGAGGCAGCAGUGGGGAAUCUUGGGCAAUGGGGGCAACCCUGACCCAGCGACGCCGCGUGGGGGACGAAGGCCUUCGGGUUGUAAACCCCUGUUAGGUGGGACGAACCGCCUCUGGCAAAGACCCGGAGGCGCUGACGGUACCACCAGAGAAAGCCCCGGCUAACUACGUGCCAGCAGCCGCGGUAAUACGUAGGGCGCAAGCGUUGUCCGGAAUUAUUGGGCGUAAAGAGCUCGUAGGCGGCUUGUCACGUCGGGUGUGAAAGCCCGGGGCUUAACCCCGGGUCUGCAGUCGAUACGGGCAGGCUAGAGCUCGGUAGGGGAGAUCGGAAUUCCUGGUGUAGCGGUGAAAUGCGCAGAUAUCGGGAGGAACACCAGUAGCGAAGGCGGCUCCCUGGGCCAUUCCUGACGCUGAGACGCGAAAGCGUGGGGAGCAAACAGGAUUAGAUACCCCCGUAGUCC
rnacentral:rRNA from 1 species